GACCGGAUAUUGCAGUGGAUUAGCACGUCUGACUUCGGAUCAGAAGGGCGUGGGUUCGACUCCCUCAGUGGUCG
rnacentral:tRNA from 1 species